CAAGUGAUUCUCUUGCGUCAGACUCCCAAGUACCUGGGACUAUAGGCACGUGCCACUGUGCCUGGCAAAUUUUUGUAUUUUUAGUAGAGAUGGGGUUUCACCAUGUUGGCCAGGCUGGUUUCAAACUCCUGACCUCAGGUGAUCCACCCACCUUGUUCUCCCAAAGUGCUAGGAUUACAAGUGUGAGCCAUGGCACCCGGCCCACUUUGCAUAUUUUGACUCAUUUAAGAUUUAAAACCCUACGAGGUAGGUACUGUUAUAAUUACCCUUAUUUUACAGAUAAGGAAAUGGAAGCUGAGAGUUUAAGUGACUUGCCCAUGGCCACAUAGCUGUCCUGAAAGAGGAGGAAGACAACAAAGACAUAUAACUAAACGCAAACACAUUGCCAUGGCGCCAAAGAAAUGAGAAAGAUCAGGGUGGGACCUGCCGUCUUUCCUGCAAUUGGGCUAGUUCAAGCUGUAUAGUCCUGGUUUUAUUUGAGGCCAUUUAAGCAUCAGGUGUCAACGAUUAACCUGGCUCAGUCCUAAAACUGCUGCUGACCUCCAAACCUGCUGCCUUCUGAUCUGAGACAAGGUUCCUUGUCUCUGAUGACACACCAUGCCCAGCUGCCACGCCGAUUAUUCUCCAGGGACAGAUGGCGACUCUCGAUGUGAGAGACACACAGAAGUGCCGAAGGAACAGUCUUACUGCCCCUCCUAGAAUACAAUUUUGCCUCAUUCAAAACAGUCACCGUUCACCCAACCUGAAAGGCCUGUAUGUGCGCUGAAAUGGACCAAAGUACCUUGUUUAGCAGCAAAUAAAUAACCUGAUGCUUCCUGGGUUGGCUGAUCGUGCAAUGCUACAGUUGCUGUCCUUCCCACAUGAUACCACCAGCUGUUCUGCUGAGACUGAUGUCAAAAAUUGUGGCUAAUUUCUGAUGUUUCUCACAGACUUUUUAGAUAUAGAAAUAAAAGAUACUCCACCUCAUAGAGGAAGACUUUGUGUUGCAUUAAG
rnacentral:lncRNA from 1 species